UAAGGAAUAUUGGGCAAUGGAGGCAACUCUGACCCAGCCAUGCCGCGUGAAGGAUGAAGGCUUUCUGAGUCGUAAACUUCUUUUAUACGGGAAGAAAACGCCCUGCGGGGUUUAUUGACGGUACCGUAUGAAUAAGCACCGGCUAACUCCGUGCCAGCAGCCGCGGUAAUACGGAGGGUGCGAGCGUUGUCCGGAAUUAUUGGGUUUAAAGGGUGCGUAGGCGGAAGAUUAAGUCAGGGGUGAAAUCCCGCAGCUCAACUGCGGAACUGCCCUUGAUACUGGUUUUCUUGAGUUCGGUUGAGGCAGGCGGAAUUUAUGAUGUAGCGGUGAAAUGCAUAGAUAUCAUAAAGAACACCGAUUGCGAAGGCAGCCUGCUGGGCCGUUACUGACGCUGAGGCACGAAAGCGUGGGGAGCGAACAGG
rnacentral:rRNA from 1 species